rnacentral:rRNA from 1 species
UACGUAGGUGGCGAGCGUUGUCCGGAAUUACUGGGCGUAAAGGGCGUGUAGGCGGGAAUUUAAGUCAGAUGUGAAAACCCCGGGCUUAACUUGGGGACUGCAUUUGAUACUGGAUUUCUUGAGGACAGGAGAGGAAAGCGGAAUUCCUAGUGUAGCGGUGAAAUGCGUAGAUAUUAGGAGGAACACCAGUGGCGAAGGCGGCUUUCUGGACUGUAACUGACGCUGAGGCGCGAAAGCGUGGGGAGCAAACGGGAUUAGAUACCCCGGUAGUCCACGCCGUAAACGAUGGGUACUAGGUGUAGGAGGUAUCGACCCCUUCUGUGCCGGAGUUAACGCAAUAAGUACCCCGCCUGGGGAGUACGGCCGCAAGGUUGAA